GUCAACUUCCCAAGUGUGCAACACCAAGACUCGAGAACCUAGAAAACUCUUCCUCCCCAAACAAGAGAUCAAAAUAGCUGACUCCCCCCCGGACGGAAGCUGUCUUCCUUCUUCUGCACCCUAAAACUAAAAGCCCAUCAACCCUAGACAAGGGAAAGAGGUUUCCAUCCCAUGGUACCAGAAUAAUGAGAGAAAUCAGAAAUCCAAAUAAACACCAGGAGAAGAAGAGAAGCAAGUUCCUGUUGGGACUGGCCACCUCACUUGGGAGCGCUCCUCCUCCAUCCAUAGAGCCUCCAAAGGAAGUCUCCCCUACGAAGCACACCAUACAGGCCCCGGGCCACCAGCCUGGAAGCAGGAGGUGCCAGCACAGUGCGAAGUAAGGACCCACUGGAUGUCUCGCCUACAUUCCCACCCCAAGCCUACCACACACCCUGCUGAGGAGCGGGUGAAGGGACAGUUUCUAGCAGCUGCUUGCAGUCCUGUUCAUCCAUUACUUCUGCAAAACUUCCCAAGCAGUAAGGCUGUGGUGAUCAACACACCAGAACUCGCACACAUGAGCUGUCUUCCCUGCUGCCACCGUGGUGCUCUGACUUGGAACAGGCUUUGAACCCCUCUAAGGUCCACCUGCAUGCCAGGAAGCAGUUGACCAAACACCUGCCCACACCAGCAUCCCAUUCCUGCCUAACAAUCCCAAUUGGAUAUGACAGGAGCUGUCAACCUGUACCCCAGAACCCCAAUAAGUGGAAACAGCUGGUGAUGGGAUGGCUUCAUCCACAUAAUGCCUCAAAGGGCCAGGGCAGGGUUCUAAGCCCAGACCAGUACAGUUCAGUAGGGAGCCACUAGCCCACUGUGGGUGCUAAGGCUAUGAAAUGUGGCUACUGUAUAAGAAUGAAAUACACAGUAUUCUGAAGAUGUGGUGCUGGUACAAGGAUCUCAGGAACAGUUUUCAUUAUGCUGAUUCUUUGAAUGAUAACAUUUUAAAUAUACUGAACUAAAUAUAUUAAAGUUAAUUCCA
ensembl:lncRNA